ACUAACGGGGGAAGGGCAGGAAAGUGUGGACAGGUCAGACACCCACGGAAGAGCAGGAUCACUGAGCAAAAUAGAAAACCCCCAGUCUGCGGAACUGCGGGUCCCAUUUCAGGCACAGGGCUGACUAUGAACUGUCUUCUUUUGAUAACGCAAGCAGCUUACUCUGGGCAGUCUUGCAAAUUAAAUACUAGAUUUCCUCCCUGAGAUCUUUGUAUUAAGGUUCCCUAAAGGCAUCUUUUCACUUCCUCUUCCCCCAUUUCCUACCAGAAUAACUCUUAGGGUUGUCUUCCUGUUGUUCAAAGUGCCUAAUUUGUAGGGUUGAAGCUGACCUGGUAACAUUUACGCAAGUUCUUGGGAUCUCCUAGCUAAUAGGCAGAAUAGAUACAUACUGGAUAAAAGUUAUAUCCAGGCCCCAAAUAGAGAAAUAGAAUAUGGUUAUAGCAAGGGGGGGGCCAGUUUGUAGCUAAACAGGACUAGAAGGUUCUCGAGGCCCCUCAGGGGAGUGCCACCUCUUUCUGGUGAUUGGGUGCUGGGUGGGAGGGUACUGGGCAGAGCACUAGGGGAGAACUGGGCAUGGUACUCCUGAAUGUCCCCCUUAUGUGGACCUUUCUGUGCCUCCCCCCCCCGACCUACCUCAGGAGAAGAAGACCGCACAGCUGACCCCUCAGCGGGGCUUUAGCGAAAAUGAGGACGAUGAUGAUGAUUCAUCUGAAACGGAUUCUGAUGCAGACGAUGAUGAUGAAGAGCACGGGGCCCCUUUGGAAGGGAUUUUUGGAUGUCUCAGAAACCCAACACACUGAAGUCUUCAAUCUUUUCUGGCUCCACGGGCUAACUGAGUCCUGUGGUGUCACGUGCACCAUCUGAAACAUUUGUGCGCUUGGGGACUUUAAAAAGACUUACUGAGUAAAUCUAUAGGAUAGUCUCUGCCUUCAGGGAGCUCACAAAUUAAAUAAAUAGAUUAACAUUUAUUUUAAUUGUACUUUAAAUUUAAUUUUAAAAUGAAUUAAACACAUACUAAAGCAUUUCUGUUUCACAAGGAAAACAUACAUGCAAAAAAGCAUUUCUAUUUGAGGCUCAGGUUCUUUUUGGCCAGGUAGAGAGUAGAUGCUUCAGAAGCCCCACAUGAGGUAAAAUACCCCUCGGUGACGCUGAAGUAAAAAUACCUCAGCCUGUUCCAGCCAUGGUGCUAGGUUAGUCAGGACGGCCAUCCCCCUAAUAGGUUUUAAUCAAAGUGGGUUCCAAGCCUCAUCCAUUUAAAAUACAACUACUGGUUAAAUAAAUGAUGGUAUAGCCAUUCAGUAGAAUUCCAUCUAGUCGCCAAAAAGCGCACUAUAAAGAAACAAAGAGAUAGGUUAAAUUUUUAAAAGGUGGAAAAGUGUUUACGCUGUGUUACCAUGUGUAUAAAACAUGACGUAGACUAGGAUACGCUAGAGACUGAUAAUAGUGAUUCUGCAGGGAGGGCAGCUUGGUGGGGAGGGGCCUGGGUGGGAGGGAGACAUAACUUCACUGUGUGCACUCUGUACCCUUCCCUUUGUAUCGUGUGUGCAUUAUUUAUUAGAGAAAGUUCUUUAAUGAAAAUUAAAAGUUACCUUUAGAUUAUCCUGCAGGUAGCCACUAAAUAAAUUAGGCAACUGUUUAAUCCCA